CAGAGUCUCUGAAGGUGAAUGCCAGGGCAUGGGGACUGGUGGCAACCAUCAACUUCACUCUCUUGGGAUGUUCAUCCAUGCACUGAGGACCUGCCUAAAAUGUCUCCAGACCUUGAAUACAGAGAGGAAUUAUGGUUUCCCUCACAUCUAAGGCCCUGAACCAACUCUUCUGGGAUUGAUGGCAUUGAGAAUAUCUUUCUUUUACAGUAAACCCUCUCACCGCCUGCAUCAGGAAGGACUUGGGACAUCCAGGAGACACUGAAUAAGGAAAAGCCACAUAGGCAGGUAGG